GAUUAUGGCUCAGGAUGAACGCUGGCGGCGUGCCUAACACAUGCAAGUCGAGCGGGAAUCAUCUGAUUGAAACUUCGGUAGAUAGAGGAUGAGGAUAGCGGCGGACGGGUGAGUAACGCGUAGGUAACCUGCCCCUUACACGGGGAUAGCCUCGGGAAACUGGGAUUAAUACCUGAUAACGCGGUGAAGUCACAUGGCUUUACCGCCAAAGAUUUAUCGGUGAGGGAUGGACCUGCGUCUGAUUAGCUGGUUGGUGAGGUAACGGCCCACCAAGGCAACGAUCAGUAGCCGACCUGAGAGGGUAAUCGGCCACAUUGGAACUGAGACACGGUCCAAACUCCUACGGGAGGCAGCAGUGGGGAAUAUUGCACAAUGGGCGCAAGCCUGAUGCAGCAACGCCGCGUGAGCGAAGAAGGUCUUCGGAUCGUAAAGCUCUGUCCUCAGGAACGAAGAAGUGACGGUACCUGAGGAGGAAGCCCCGGCUAACUACGUGCCAGCCGCUGC
rnacentral:rRNA from 1 species